rnacentral:rRNA from 1 species
CAGCCGCCGCGGUAAUACGAAGGGUGCAAGCGUUAAUCGGAAUUACUGGGCGUAAAGCGUGCGCAGGCGGUUCGCUAAGACAGAUGUGAAAUCCCCGGGCUUAACCUGGGAACUGCAUUUGUGACUGGCGGGCUAGAGUAUGGCGGAGGGGGGUAGAAUUCCACGUGUAGCAGUGAAAUGCGUAGAGAUGUGGAGGAAUACCGAUGGCGAAGGCAGCCCCCUGGGCCAAUACUGACGCUCAUGCACGAAAGCGUGGGGAGCAAACAGGAUUAGAUACCCCUGUAGUCCCUGUCUCUUAUAC